AUGGGACAGUCAGUGGACCAAACCUCUGGUCUGGUGACUCUUACUGAAGGACAAACUGUAUCUCUCUCUUGUUCCUAUGAAGCACAGUAUAGAGGUGAAUUUGACACAUACUUGUACAUUCAACAUCCUGGUCAACCUCUAAAAUACAUUCUAGAUUUAUCUGUCAAUGAAGCUCAAGGAUUUCAAGCUACUUACAUUCCCCAUGGAAACAAGCAUGAAGGGACUUUCAGCAUGCAGAAACCAGCCAUCCAGUUGAAUGAUUCUGCUGCCUACUUCUAUGCCUUCAGAGACACAGUAUGA